rnacentral:rRNA from 1 species
AUUGAACGCUGGCGGCAGGCCUAACACAUGCCAGUCGAGCGGAGCGGCGGACGGGUGAGUAAUGCCUAGGAAUCUGCCUGGUAGUGGGGGAUGACGUCCGGAAACGGGCGCUAAUACCGCAUACUAUCAGAUGAGCCUAGGUCGGAUUAGCUAGUUGGUGGGGUAAAGGCCUACCAAGCCGACGAUCCGUAACUGGUAUGAGAGGAUGAUCAGGAACACUGGAACUGAGACAAGGUCCAGGCCCCUGCGGGAGGCAGCAGGGGGGAAUAUUGGACAAGGGGCGAAAGCCUGGUCCAGCCGUGCCGCGUGUGUGAAGAAGGUCUUCGGAUUGUAAAGCACUUUAAGUUGGGAGGCGUUACCAACAGGAUAAGCACCGGCUAAAUUCGUGCCAGCAGCCGCGGUAAUAC